GGAGAGUGAAGAGGAGAGGGGCAGAACUGACCAGUAAAGGAGGAGGAGAGGGGCAGAACUGACCAGUAAAGGAGGAGGAGAGGGGCAGAACUGACCAGUAAAGGAGGAGGAGAGGGGCAGAACUGACCAGUAAAGGUGGAGGAGAGGGG